rnacentral:rRNA from 1 species
UGAGGAGCAGUCGAAGGUAGGAUUGAUGACUGGGGUGAAGUCGUAACAAGGUAGCCGUAUCGGAAGGUGCGGCUGGAUCACCUUCUUUCUAAGGAG